rnacentral:misc_RNA from 1 species
GUUUUUAGUUUAAAGGCACGAAGGCCAAUUACAAUGUUCAGAUACAUUCAUAUGGGGUAUAUGGAAAACGUAGAUCUGAAUACAAGAAAGGCCGGCUUUCGCACAGCGAUUCUCCAACCGAGUUUCCUCGAGAGUUUUCAGAUCUACACAAAGUGCACAGGUGGUUAAAGAUGGAGAAGGCGUGCACUUGCUCCGAAAAGCCAGCAACAACCCCACCAAAUUUUUUCAAUAAUGAUCCUUCCGCAGGUUCACCUACGGAAA